GCGCCAAGGAACAGAGAUUGACGCAACGGGAGCGAAGAACAGAAGCGAUGGAUGGUUACGCUGGUUGACUCUCGGCAUGUUCAAAAUGGCGAAGUUCCGAAUUUGUCGCUGUGUGACGUGCGCGUGUGUGCUCGCGAUGUGCCGUCAUAGCGCGGGGAUAUUUGUGCUGAAUGUGUUUCACUUCGUCUACAAAACUCUGCACGCAAUGGCAUCGAAGAAGUGGUGUGUUCAGGUGCACGUAUGUGCAUGCUUGGAUACGGAAAGCCUGCCCUCAACGGUAGCGCUGAGCUCAGCCGUGUUGGCUCAGCGCUACCCCCUCAACGGAUGUUCAACAGUCUACGUGCUCGUAACUUGCUCACGAGACCUCCUUGCUGUUGCAACUCUGAGGACAAUUGCUUCAAAUGGGAAGGAACAACCAGCAGUGCCAGCGCUAUUUGUACAUGAGGACACCUCCUUGCUGUUUCAACUCUGAGGACAAUUGCUUCAAAUGGGAAGGAACAACCAGCAGUGCCAGCGCUAUUUGUACAUGAGGACGACGAGAGGGUUCCACUCACCCCCUGUGUGGUGUAUUCUGGCCACAACCUGGAACAGGCAGAGUUUCUCCACCUCUGUGUCGACAAGGAGCGGCUGUUCAUGGUGAAAAAUGCGGAGGAAGGGGUCAUCGCAAUCAUGAGUGCAUUUUUUGUAUUGAACGUAGUAUAUCGGCCUAAAUACUUCAACACCAGUGCAGUACUGGAACGAUUGUGUUUUGGUUUGAAUGUAAUAAUGCCAAGUGGUUGUUACAAAGUUUGUGAACAGAGUUGUGCAGGCAAUGCGACACCGAGGUUCAUGUACGUUACCAUACGAAUGCUAGCCUGACAAUUUUGUGCAAUAGCUUGAGCAAUAGUUUUGUGCAAUUUUUAAUGUAUCAUUUUCUUUCUUUUUGAUCACGAUAAUAGCAUGAUCCAGUAACUUCUUCCGCUGC